CCGACCUUAGCUCAGUUGGUAGAGCGGAGGACUGUAGUGGGUCAACCCCUUGGCUAUCCUUAGGUCGCUGGUUCGAAUCCGGCAGGUCGGA
rfam:Corchorus olitorius cultivar O-4 contig17989, whole genome shotgun sequence.